UAUGCUUUAUUAGGUGGGAUAAGACCUUAAACACUCUUUACGCGGGUGUUCUAUUAACUUGAGUCAAUUGUAUGGCCACGGUGGCUGGCACGAAAUUGACCAACUC